rnacentral:rRNA from 1 species
UACGUAGGGUGCGAGCGUUGUCCGGGAUUAUUGGGCGUAAAGGGCUCGUAGGCGGUUUGUCGCGUCGGGAGUGAAAUCCACUGGCUUAACUGGUGGCUUGCUUUCGAUACGGGCAGACUGGAGGUAUGCAGGGGGAGAACGGAAUUCCUGGUGUAGCGGUGAAAUGCGCAGAUAUCAGGAGGAACACCGGUGGCGAAGGCGGCUCGCUGGGCCGGUCCUGACGCUGAAACGCGAAGGCGUGGGGAGCGAACGGGG